GAUGAACGCUGGCGGCGUGCUUAACACAUGCAAGUCGAACGAUGAACCGGGUGCUUGCACUCGGGGAUUAGUGGCGAACGGGUGAGUAACACGUGAGCAACCUGCCCCUGACUCUGGGAUAAGCGCUAGAAACGGCGUCUAAUACUGGAUAUGUCCCGUCACCGCAUGGUGUGCGGGUGGAGAGAUUUUUCGGUUGGGGAUGGGCUCGCGGCCUAUCAGCUUGUUGGUGAGGUAAUGGCUCACCAAGGCGUCGACGGGUAGCCGGCCUGAGAGGGUGACCGGCCACACUGGGACUGAGACACGGCCCAGACUCCUACGGGAGGCAGCAGUGGGGAAUAUUGCACAAUGGGCGGAAGCCUGAUGCAGCAACGCCGCGUGAGGGAUGACGGCCUUCGGGUUGUAAACCUCUUUUAGCAGGGAAGAAGCGAGAGUGACGGUACCUGCAGAAAAAGCACCGGCUAACUACGUGCCAGCCGCCGCCGUAA
rnacentral:rRNA from 1 species